rnacentral:rRNA from 1 species
UACGGGGGGAGCAAGCGUUGUUCGGAUUUAUUGGGCGUAAAGGGUGCGUAGGCGGCCGUGCAAGUCUGGCGUGAAAGCCCCGGGCUCAGCCCGGGAAGUGCGCUCGAAACUGCGCGGCUCGAGUGCCGGAGGGGAGAGUGGAAUUCCUGGUGUAGUGGUGAAAUGCGUAGAUAUCAGGAGGAAUACCGGUGGCGAAAGCGGCGCGCUGGACCUCUUCUGACGCUGAGGCGCGAAAGCCAGGGGAGCAAACAGGG